GGGUUGUGAGGUUAAGCGACUAAGCGUACACGGUGGAUGCCCUGGCAGUCAGAGGCGAUGAAGGACGUGCUAAUCUGCGAAAAGCGUCGGUAAGGUGAUAUGAACCGUUAUAGCCGGCGAUGUCCGAAUGGGGAAACCCAGUGCAAUUCGUUGCACUAUCGUUUGAUGAAUACAUAGUCAAACGAGGCGAACCGGGGGAACUGAAACAUCUAAGUACCCCGAGGAAAAGAAAUCAACCGAGAUUCCCCCAGUAGCGGCGAGCGAACGGGGAGCAGCCCGGAGUCUGAAUCAGCUUGUGUGUUAGUGGAAGCGUCUGGAAAGUCGCAGGGUACAGGGUGAUACUCCCGUACACUAAAACGCACAGGUUGUGAACUCGAAGAGUAGGGCGGGACACGUGGUAUCCUGUCUGAAUAUGGGGGGACCAUCCUCCAAGGCUAAAUACUCCUGACUGACCGAUAGUGAACCAGUACCGUGAGGGAAAGGCGAAAAGAACCCCGGCGAGGGGAGUGAAAAAGAACCUGAAACCGUGUACGUACAAGCAGUAGGAGCCUCUUUAUGGGGUGACUGCGUACCUUUUGUAUAAUGGGUCAGCGACUUAUAUUCUGUAGCAAGGUUAACCGUAUAGGGGAGCCGCAGGGAAACCGAGUCUUAACUGGGCGUUAAGUUGCAGGGUAUAGACCCGAAACCCGGUGAUCUAGCCAUGGGCAGGUUGAAGGUUGGGUAACACUAACUGGAGGACCGAACCGACUAAUGUUGAAAAAUUAGCGGAUGACUUGUGGCUGGGGGUGAAAGGCCAAUCAAACCGGGAGAUAGCUGGUUCUCCCCGAAAGCUAUUUAGGUAGCGCCUCGUGAACUCAUCUUCGGGGGUAGAGCACUGUUUCGGCUAGGGGGUCAUCCCGACUUACCAACCCGAUGCAAACUACGAAUACCGAAGAAUGUUAUCACGGGAGACACACGGCGGGUGCUAACGUCCGUCGUGAAGAGGGAAACAACCCAGACCGCCAGCUAAGGUCCCAAAGUCAUGGUUAAGUGGGAAACGAUGUGGGAAGGCCCAGACAGCCAGGAUGUUGGCUUAGAAGCAGCCAUCAUUUAAAGAAAGCGUAAUAGCUCACUGGUCGAGUCGGCCUGCGCGGAAGAUGUAACGGGGCUAAACCAUGCACCGAAGCUGCGGCAGCGACACUAUGUGUUGUUGGGUAGGGGAGCGUUCUGUAAGCCGUUGAAGGUGGCCUGUGAGGGUUGCUGGAGGUAUCAGAAGUGCGAAUGCUGACAUAAGUAACGAUAAUGCGGGUGAAAAACCCGCACGCCGGAAGACCAAGGGUUCCUGUCCAACGUUAAUCGGGGCAGGGUGAGUCGACCCCUAAGGCGAGGCCGAAAGGCGUAGUCGAUGGGAAACAGGUUAAUAUUCCUGUACUCGGUGUUACUGCGAAGGGGGGACGGAGAAGGCUAUGUUGGCCGGGCGACGGUUGUCCCGGUUUAAGCAUGUAGGCGGAUGUUCCAGGUAAAUCCGGAACGUUAUCAACGCUGAGGUGUGAUGACGAGGCACUACGGUGCUGAAGUGACAAAUGCCCUGCUUCCAGGAAAAGCCUCUAAGCAUCAGGUAACAUCAAAUCGUACCCCAAACCGACACAGGUGGUCAGGUAGAGAAUACCAAGGCGCUUGAGAGAACUCGGGUGAAGGAACUAGGCAAAAUGGUGCCGUAACUUCGGGAGAAGGCACGCUGAUAUGUAGGUGAAGUGGUUUACCCAUGGAGCUGAAAUCAGUCGAAGAUACCAGCUGGCUGCAACUGUUUAUUAAAAACACAGCACUGUGCAAACACGAAAGUGGACGUAUACGGUGUGACGCCUGCCCGGUGCCGGAAGGUUAAUUGAUGGGGUUAUCCGUAAGGAGAAGCUCUUGAUCGAAGCCCCGGUAAACGGCGGCCGUAACUAUAACGGUCCUAAGGUAGCGAAAUUCCUUGUCGGGUAAGUUCCGACCUGCACGAAUGGCGUAAUGAUGGCCAGGCUGUCUCCACCCGAGACUCAGUGAAAUUGAACUCGCUGUGAAGAUGCAGUGUACCCGCGGCAAGACGGAAAGACCCCGUGAACCUUUACUAUAGCUUGACACUGAACACUGGUCCUUGAUGUGUAGGAUAGGUGGGAGGCUUUGAAGUGUGGACGCCAGUCUGCAUGGAGCCAUCCUUGAAAUACCACCCUUUAAUGGCUGGUGUUCUAACGUGGGCCCCUAAUCGGGGUUGCGGACAGUGUCUGGUGGGUAGUUUGACUGGGGCGGUCUCCUCCUAAAGAGUAACGGAGGAGCACGAAGGUCAGCUAAUCCUGGUCGGACAUCAGGAGGUUAGUGCAAUGGCAUAAGCUGGCUUGACUGCGAGCGUGACGGCGCGAGCAGGUGCGAAAGCAGGUCAUAGUGAUCCGGUGGUUCUGAAUGGAAGGGCCAUCGCUCAACGGAUAAAAGGUACUCCGGGGAUAACAGGCUGAUACCGCCCAAGAGUUCAUAUCGACGGCGGUGUUUGGCACCUCGAUGUCGGCUCAUCACAUCCUGGGGCUGAAGUAGGUCCCAAGGGUAUGGCUGUUCGCCAUUUAAAGUGGUACGCGAGCUGGGUUUAGAACGUCGUGAGACAGUUCGGUCCCUAUCUGCCGUGGGCGCUGGAGAAUUGAGGGGGGCUGCUCCUAGUACGAGAGGACCGGAGUGGACGCAUCACUGGUGUUCGGGUUGUCAUGCCAAUGGCAUUGCCCGGUAGCUAAAUGCGGAAGAGAUAAGUGCUGAAAGCAUCUAAGCACGAAACUUGCCCCGAGAUGAGUUCUCCCUGACCCUUUAAGGGUCCUGAAGGAACGUUGAAGACGACGACGUUGAUAGGCCGGGUGUGUAAGCGCAGCGAUGCGUUGAGCUAACCGGUACUAAUGAACCGUGAGGCUUAACCUUACAACGCCGAAG
rnacentral:rRNA from 1 species